GACGAACGCUGGCAGCGUGCCUAAUACAUGCAAGUCGAGCGGGCAGAAGGGAGCUUGCUCCCGGAAGUUAGCGGCGGACGGGUGAGUAACACGUGGGCAACCUACCCUGUAGAUCGGGAUAACAUCGAGAAAUCGGUGCUAAUACCGGAUAAUCAUUUGAAGUGCAUGCUUCGAAUGUAAAAGAUGGCUCCGGCUAUCACUACGGGAUGGGCCCGCGGCGCAUUAGCUAGUUAGUAAGGUAAUGGCUUACCAAGGCAACGAUGCGUAGCCGACCUGAGAGGGUGAUCGGCCACACUGGGACUGAGACACGGCCCAGACUCCUACGGGAGGCAGCAGUAGGGAAUCUUCCGCAAUGGACGAAAGUCUGACGGAGCAACGCCGCGUGAGUGAUGAAGGUUUUCGGAUCGUAAAGCUCUGUUGUUAGGGAAGAACAAGUGCCGUUUGAAUAAGGCGGCACCUUGACGGUACCUAACCAGAAAGCCACGGCUAACUACGUGCCAGCCGCCGCCGUAAGAC
rnacentral:rRNA from 1 species